GUUGGUAACAAUUGGUAUACAAGUAUAUAUUUUCCGUGUAAUAAUUAUUAAAACACAUUGCCAGUAUAUAAUACAUGAUAUAGGUAAGAGGUGAAUUCUUUCAUCGCUAAGCAGAUAACUUUUCAUCGGUAUUCACAUUGUAUUCAUGAUACCUACCUAGUAAAUGUGCUGGAAUUGGUCCAUCGACUCGAACCCUGCGUUUACCAUAGUGAGAAACUAAUUUUCGCCGUACGUAAGAGUGAAGAUGUUUAUAAAUCGGCUCUAUGGCUGUCCACAAAUUGUCAAGUUUUGCUUUAAAAUUUGCAUCUUCAUACAUUGCAAUUUGUUGCUGACCUGCGUCUUCAAACCCUACAGUUAAAAAUAAAAAAGAGUGAUAUUUCAUCGCACUUGCAGACGUUAUUUCAAUGAAUGGCUUGAUACACCUCUCGGUGUUAUAUUCCGGAAUGCGAAGGGACAAAUGGUCAAAGGGAGGAAAAUAUAAUUAUUACCAUAGCAACCCUGCAGUUCUCGCACAGUCAUGGCGGCGGAACCAGACGACAAAACCAAUAAUAUUACUUUAAAACAAACACCAAAUUUGCUUUUGGAUUGUUAGUAUCAGAUUAUUAGUUUUGAUAACUAACUAGAUUCCAUUUUCAAACUCGGUAUUAUGAACAAUUUGGAAGGUUUACGUAAAUAAUUAAAUAAAGGCAAUUCGUAAUUUGAAAUAUAGAGUGAUAGUAACAAAUUAACAAAUAAUUUGAA